rnacentral:rRNA from 1 species
AGAACGAACGCUGGCGGCAGGCUUAACACAUGCAAGUCGAGCGGUUGUAGCAAUACAGCAGUGGCAGACGGGUGAGUAACACGUGGGAACCUUCCUAGGGGUACGGAACAACUCAGGGAAACUUGAGCUAAUACCGUAUACGUCCGUAAGGAGAAAGAUUCAUCGCCCCUAGACGGGCCCGCGUAGGAUUAGGUAGUUGGUGAGGUAACGGCUCACCAAGCCUACGAUCCUUAGCUGAUCUGAGAGGAUGAUCAGCCACACGUGGGACUGAGACACGGCCCAGACCUCCGUACGGGAGCAGCAGGUGGGAAUCGUGGACAGUGGGCUCAAGCCUGACUCCGAGCCAUCGCCG